rnacentral:rRNA from 1 species
CCUCCCGAGUGCUUGCACUCAAUUGGAAAGAGGAGUGGCGGACGGGUGAGUAACACGUGGGUAACCUACCCAUCAGAGGGGGAUAACACUUGGAAACAGGUGCUAAUACCGCAUAACAGUUUAUGCCGCAUGGCAUAAGAGUAAAAGGCGCUUUCGGGUGUCGCUGAUGGAUGGACCCGCGGUGCAUUAGCUAGUUGGUGAGGUAACGGCUCACCAAGGCCACGAUGCAUAGCCGACCUGAGAGGCUGAUCGGCCACACUGGGACUGAGACACGGCCCAGACUCCUACGGGAGGCAGCAGUAGGGAAUCUUCGGCAAUGGACGAAAGUCUGACCGAGCAACGCCGCGUGAGUGAAGAAGGUUUUCGGAUCGUAAAACUCUGUUGUUAGAGAAGAACAAGGACGUUAGUAACUGAACGUCCCCUGACGGUAUCUAACCAGAAAGUCACGGCUAACUACGUGCCAGCAGCCGCGGUAAUACGUAGGUGGCAAGCGUUGUCCGGAUUUAUUGGGCGUAAAGCGAGCGCAGGCGGUUUCUUAAGUCUGAUGUGAAAGCCCCCGGCUCAACCGGGGAGGGUCAUUGGAAACUGGGAGACUUGAGUGCAGAAGAGGAGAGUGGAAUUCCAUGUGUAGCGGUGAAAUGCGUAGAUAUAUGGAGGAACACCAGUGGCGAAGGCGGCUCUCUGGUCUGUAACUGACGCUG